rnacentral:rRNA from 1 species
GACGAACGCUGGCGGCGUGCUUAACACAUGCAAGUCGAACGGAAAGGCCCGGCUUUUGUGGGGUGCUCGAUUGGCGAACGGGUGAGUAACACGUGAGUAACCUGCCCUUGACUGUGGGAUAACUUCAGGAAACUGGGGCUAAUACCGGAUAUGAUCUCCUGCUGCAUGGUGGGGGUUGGAAAGUUUCGGCGGUUGGGGAUGGACUCGCGGCUUAUCAGCUUGUUGGUGUGGUAGUGGCUUACCAAGGCUUUGACGGGUAGCCGGCCUGAGAGGGUGACCGGCCACAUUGGGACUGAGAUACGGACCAGAAUCCUACGGGAGGCAGCAGUGGGGAAUAUUGCACAAUGGGCGGACGCCUGAUGCAGAAACGCCGCGUGCGGGAUGACGGCCUUCGGGUUGUAAACCGCUUUCGCCUGUGACGAAGCGUGAGUGACGGUAAUGGGUAAAGAAGCACCGGCUAACUACGUG